AUUGAACGCUGGCGGCAUGCCUUACACAUGCAAGUCGAACGGCAGCACGGGUGCUUGCACCUGGUGGCGAGCGGCGAACGGGUGAGUAAUACAUCGGAACAUGUCCUGUAGUGGGGGAUAGCCCGGCGAAAGCCGGAUUAAUACCGCAUACGAUCCACGGAUGAAAGCGGGGGACCUUCGGGCCUCGCGCUAUAGGGUUGGCCGAUGGCUGAUUAGCUAGUUGGUGGGGUAAAGGCCUACCAAGGCGACGAUCAGUAGCUGGUCUGAGAGGACGACCAGCCACACUGGGACUGAGACACGGCCCAGACUCCUACGGGAGGCAGCAGUGGGGAAUUUUGGACAAUGGGUGAAAGCCUGAUCCAGCAAUGCCGCGUGUGUGAAGAAGGCCUUCGGGUUGUAAAGCACUUUUGUCCGGAAAGAAAUCCUUGGCUCUAAUACAGUCGGGGGAUGACGGUACCGGAAGAAUAAGCACCGGCUAACUACGUG
rnacentral:rRNA from 1 species